GGGGCUGUAGCUCAGUUGGCUAGAGCACCUGCUUUGCAAGCAGGGGGUCGUGGGUUCGAAUCCCAUCAGCUCCACCA
rnacentral:tRNA from 1 species